GACGAACGCUGGCGGCGUGCUUAACACAUGCAAGUCGAACGGAAAGGCCCUGCUCUUGCGGGGUGCACGAGAGGCGCACGGGUGAGUAACACGCGAGUAACCUGCACUUGACUUUGGGAUAACACUAGGAAACUGGGGCUAUUAUCGGAUAGGAGCUCCUGAAGCAUGGGGGGGGAUGGAAAGUUUCGGCGGUUGGGGAUGGAAUAGCGGCUUAUCAGCUUGUUGGUGGGGUAGUGGAUUACCAAGUCUGUGACGGAUAGCCGGCCUGGGAGGUUGGCCGGCCACAUUACGCCUACGGUACGGCCCAGACUCCUACGGUACGCAGCGGUGGAGAGUAUUGCGCAGUGGGCGGAAGCCUGUUGCGGCGACCCCCCGAUCGGGAUGCCGUCCUUCGAGUUGUAAACCGCUUUCUCCUUUGACGUGGCGGGAUUGACGGUACCUGGUAAGGAAGCACCGGCUAACUACGUG
rnacentral:rRNA from 1 species